CCCGUUUCCUGGAAGUGAUGGAGC
rnacentral:miRNA from 1 species